ACUGCAAGUCGAGCGAACAGAAGGGAGCUUGCUCCCGGAUGUUAGCGGCGGACGGGUGAGUAACACGUGGGUAACCUGCCUGUAAGACUGGAAUAACUCCGGGAAACCGGAGCUUAUACCGGAUAGUUCCUUGAACCACAUGGUUCAAGGAUGAAAAACUUUUUCUAUCUGUCACUUACGAAGGGACCCCCGACGCAUUAGCUAGUGGGGGGGGAAAGGACUCACCAGGGCAACAAGGCUAAACGAACCGGAAAGGAGGAUCGGCCACACGGGACUGAAAACCCACACCCCACUCCUAGGGAGGACACAGUAAGNUUCUCUUGAACGAACAACAGACAGAUGGACACCACCUGAGUGAGAGAUGAAAGUUUUUUCAUAACAUAGAUAUGUUGUUAGAGAAGAUAUAGUGCGAGAUAC
rnacentral:rRNA from 1 species